AAUUGGUUCUUAUCGACUGCCCAGUGUUGACAGAUAUGACCAUACUCACUAACCACUUUUGCCACAAGAGAAACAAAACUGAGUGUCAGGAAGACUCAUCCUUUCUGCCCACUUAGUUGGGCAAACCGAAGCGCUUUCCUUCCAAGAGACAGGGCGGCACCAUGGUACUGCGGUGAAGAAAAGGAGUCAGGUGCAUACGGCUGGAAGGAUGCUGACCGUGGUCCAGGUCUCCCUUCCCGUUCAUCAGGUUUAAGAUUUGCCGUGGAUUAAUAGAAACCAGAACAAGCCCCAGAUGGCGAGCACAGUUAACAAUGAAAAGUCAUAAAUGCAGAAGUCAAUGGGGACCACAUUCAAACGCACGACUCCCAGUACAAAGUGGAUCCGGCAACCAAGAAAGGAGAAACUGGACAGACAAGGACUCCCAUAGAGAAGAAAAAUUGAAGCUGAAUCCUUGUUUCCUGACCUCUUCUGCUAUAAGGAGUGAACAUCAUCUCUGCUUGGGGCCAAGAAGAUCUGAGAAGAAUAAUGCUGUGCACAACUAGAUUUCCUCCCCAAGCAACACGGCCAGGCAGGCAUGUGAAGGCAGAGCCACUACCCUAGGACACUGCCCUUGGCUUCCAGCCUUUGAGAACAGUAGCAAGAGUUUGUGGUGGGUGGAACUUUUGGCGACCAUGUUUUAACUGAUUUUUGUCAUUAAGACAAUAGGCUGAGCAGGAAGGGUGGACAGACAAGAAGCAGGAGGUGACAUUAUUUAAUCACCAAACAUAGAAUGGCCUUUGUCCAGGCCUCCUUUAAAUUAGAUGUAUAGCCUUGUGUGUUAAGGCAAUUGCUACUACCUGCUUCAAACUGCUCUUACUGGCCCUACUAACCUGUCUGUAGUGGUUGAUGUAGGUAACUGACUCUUCUGUUGUCUCUCCUGACUGCCUUCCCUCCUCUAUCUCUGGCUAUCCCUCGUUGACCCUUCUUUAAGAUUUCUCCUCAGCCUCUAUUUUAAGCUUGGAAGUUCCAGACAGGUGCCCUUGGCCACAUUUCCACGUGCUGUGUGUGCCUUGGUGUCCUCAGUACCUACAGGCUGCUGAAUCUGAAAUUUGUAACCCUCGACCGAGCUCCUCCAGACUACACACUUACAGGCACUACUCCAUAUCUGUCUUAUAUCUACUCAACUUAGUAUCUCUAUAACAGCUCCUGACCUCCACCCCUUCAAUCUUUCUAGCUCAGUGAAAAGGCACCACCCCUCUGUUCCUCAUCCCUCAUUCAACCCAUCAGCUUUCCUUCUAACAUCCAUGUAUCGGUCUACAGCCAGAACCCGCCACAGUCCUGGUGCUAAAAGAAUACCUUUUGCUAUAACUGCAUCAGUACCACUUCCUCUCCAGUUCCCAACCUCACUUGCAUUCAGUCUACUCUCAACACAGUGAUCCUACAAAUGCUUAAGUCACUCAGGCUCAAAGACAACGUCCUUAUGAACUUUAAGACUACAUAUAACCCAGCUCUGCAUGCCUCUGCCUUCUCGGUUUCUGGUGGCUACUUGUGCCCUCCAUUCCCAGAGCACAGAUCCCAAGUGCCUCCUGCUGUUCACUCUGUUUCCAUCUGCUAUUCAGAGCACUUGCUCCUUCAGGCCAGAACUCACAACCCCUCCCUACUACACUAAAAUUUCAUGCCUCCCCCCCCCUUACACACACAUUCACCUCAUAUCUCCACUUCUCUCUUUUAGCAGUUUUUCAAUCUUCUUAGAUUAUCAGUACCCAAAAUACUUUACACUUCAUUCAUAUAUAACCCAUGUUACACAGCAUGACAAUAUUCAGGGCCUGUUUUGAUCUUGUAUUCACUGUUCUCUAGCACAUAAGUGAAUCUACAUGUACUCAAUAAAUAUUUAAGUACCAAGUUAUAGGCCAAUUAAAAUACCAUUUCACACCCUUC